GACGAACGCUGGCGGCGUGCUUAACACAUGCAAGUCGAACGGAAAGGCCCUGCUUUUGUGGGGUGCUCGAGUGGCGAACGGGUGAGUAACACGUGAGUAACCUGCCCUUGACUUUGGGAUAACUUCAGGAAACUGGGGCUAAUACCGGAUAGGAGCUCCUGCUGCAUGGUGGGGGUUGGAAAGUUUCGGCGGUUGGGGAUGGACUCGCGGCUUAUCAGCUUGUUGGUGGGGUAGUGGCUUACCAAGGCUUUGACGGGUAGCCGGCCUGAGAGGGUGACCGGCCACAAUGGGACUGAGAUACGGCCCAGACUCCUACGGGAGGCAGAAGUGGGGAAUAUUGCACAAUGGGCGGAAGCCUGAGGCAGCAACGCCGCGUGCGGAAUGACGGCCUUCGGGUUGUAGACCGCUUUCGCCUGUGACGAAGCGUGAGUGACGGUAAUGGGUAAAGAAGCACCGGCUAACUACGUG
rnacentral:rRNA from 1 species